rnacentral:rRNA from 1 species
AUUGAACGCUGGCGGCAGGCCUAACACAUGCAAGUCGAACGGUAACAGGAAGCAGCUUGCUGCUUCGCUGACGAGUGGCGGACGGGUGAGUAAUGUCUGGGAAACUGCCUGAUGGAGGGGGAUAACUACUGGAAACGGUAGCUAAUACCGCAUAACGUCGCAAGACCAGAGGGGGACCUUAGGGCCUCUUGCCAUCGGAUGUGCCCAGAUGGGAUUAGCUAGUAGGUGGGGUAACGGCUCACCUAGGCGACGAUCCCUAGCUGGUCUGAGAGGAUGACCAGCCACACUGGAACUGAGACACGGUCCAGACUCCUACGGGAGGCAGCAGUGGGGAAUAUUGCACAAUGGGCGCAAGCCUGAUGCAGCCAUGCCGCGUGUAUGAAGAAGGCCUUCGGGUUGUAAAGUACUUUCAGCGGGGAGGAAGGGAGUAAGGUUAAUACCUUUGCUCAUUGACGUUACCCGCAGAAGAAGCACCGGCUAACUCCGUG